rnacentral:rRNA from 1 species
AACGAACGCUGGCGGCAUGCCUAACACAUGCAAGUCGAACGGGGCAGCAAUGCCUAGUGGCGGACGGGUGAGGAAUACGUAGGAAUCUGCCCUUAAGUGGGGGAUAACCAGGGGAAACCCUGACUAAUACCGCAUGAUCUCUUCGGAGCAAAGAGGGGGACCGCAAGGCCUCUCGCUUCUGGAUGAGCCUACGUCUGAUUAGCUAGUUGGUAGGGUAAAGGCCUACCAAGGCGACGAUCAGUAACUGGUCUGAGAGGAUGAUCAGUCACACCGGAACUGAGACACGGUCCGGACUCCUACGGGAGGCAGCAGUGGGGAAUAUUGGACAAUGGGCGCAAGCCUGAUCCAGCAAUGCCGCGUGUGUGAAGAAGGCCUUCGGGUUGUAAAGCACUUUAGCCUGGAAAGAAAAAACUUUGGUUAACACCCAAAGUCUUGACGGUACCAGGAGAAUAAGCACCGGCUAACUCUGUGCCAGCAGCCGCAGUAACAC